CGUUUAUUGCAUUGAUGGAGGGAGUGGUGCAUGCUGGGUAAUGGCACAGCUAGCGACUGGGUGACUUUAUUCACCCGCUUCGGCUGUUAUCAGUCCAUACAAUGGGCGUUAUUAGCAGAAAUCAGUCCCAUAGAUGUGGGCCAUCCACCUGCUAGAUUGUUCAGAAGGUUGUUAUCAUCCAUCCAGAUGGAGGAUCACUGACAGGAGCGUGGAAGACUCCAGAAUCCACUCUGGCUGGAAUCCGGUGGAUACAGCAGUGUUACAGAACAGUUCUCCACAGUCGCUGUCCACAUGGGUCAGUGGGACCAAGCAGCACUCUGCUAAUGUGAGACUCUGACCAGCAACAUCCAGUAAGACCCAGACAGCGUUUUCUAUCUCCCAGCUGGAGUUUUUUGUUUGUCUGUGACUGGAGAGUCAGAUUUUUGUUGAAGCUGGAGGAACAGCCUCACACUCGCAGAGAGUGACUGCUGCUUAGACCACAGGUUAAUACACGCUACUGAUCCCUGAUGGGAGAAUCAUCACCUCUGCCAACAAAGAAGCCUGGUGGAUAUUUGUUUGCAGUCUGAUGGUGGGACCUCAUGCUCUGCAUAUUCAAAGUUUGUCUCUUGAUUAUUAUUCAUACACAGUAAUGUGAAGUAUGUUUAUAUCUAGUAUAACUGAACCAACCUGGUGCUCUUCAUUUAUGGAGGCUGUUGAGUCUGAAUGUUGGAUGUUGUGUAUCUCUUGUUCUCUGGGCUUUGUUGUCCUCAGUCUUUUUGCAGGAUCAGAAAACAAAACCAGGAGGCGUGUAAAUGUUUCUUCUCCAAUUGGAUGAUGAUAAGACCGUGACACGGUAUGCCACCUUUAGUCUUGUGAUGAAGCAAAGCUCAGGAAGAAGUGUGAUUAAAUGGUACCCACAUGUGUGCUGCUGAGAAGGAUGUACAGGGGUAUCUGCAGCCAAAUCCAAGCCUCCUCAGGUUAGUUGUAGUUGCAGAAUGCUAUAGGACUGAGACAGCUGAGGCAUCAAAUGUUUGAUUAAACGGAUGAAAAAGAGAAGUUUCUUCCCUAUAAUUAUCACUUUUUAAAAUCUUUAGCAACUUCAAGUCUGUCAGCGUGCUGAGGUCACAGAAACAAGAAAAGAAGCUUCAGACUUCAGAGUGUUGUUUACAUUUUUCUGUCAUCAUGAUCUCCCCUGAAGUUUAUCACUAUUAGCCAAGCAAGCAGAGCGGCAGUUUGUGCUCACAGAUGGAGACGGUGUGGACAGACGGUGGUGUUUCCUCAGAAGAACUAGCAGAGUCACCAAGGGCACGAGUCCAUCUCACCACCUUAUGGGCAGGAUAUCAGUCUUGGACUGUCUAACCUGCCGGAGCAGCACUGAAUGACCACCACACAUGAGCAUGUUCCUGCAACAUUCAGCAGCUUUGCUUUUGUGUCAAAUGUCAAACAGCUGGAGAGGAAACUAAACCAGUACUGGGAUGUUUCACCAACACGUGCCAGAUGCUGUUCCUUCAUGGUUUCAUCACCAGAGACAGCCCCGCCCACCUCAGGACCUCGCCAUUGAUCAUGAUGAUUAUAAUGAUGACAGCGAGCGGAACUAAGACUGUAAAAAUCCACGACCAGAAUGUUUAGAUGCUUUCUAAUUAUUAAUGAAUACUGAGAGCCUCUUUCUGUGUUUUGUCUGUUUUGGGGUUUUUUUUUUACCUCAUUUGUUACUAACAAAGUUCAUCAAACUCACACAGUUUACAUUCUGUAUGUUUCCAUCUUUACCAGCCACACUCUACCUGCAUUUAAGAAAAUAAUCCUUAGAAAUCGUCGUUUUUCUCUUUUGUAAUUGAUGAUAAUUCAGUGAAUAUACUGCGCUGCUUCCUUUUAUUGCGUCACACAUUGCUUUAAGUUUUUCAGUGUCCAGUUAUUUUUUACUGCUGUUUGAAUUCUCUGUAUGUUUGACCCUGUAGACUGUUUGAUGGACUGCUUGUCUUCCUGUUUGUAACCGCCGCCUGUUUUUGACUAAAGAUUUGGAUUUCUGACUUUAA